GCUGUUGCAGGUCGAUCCUGGACACACAGAGACGAAGCUGCUGUCAAACAUCAUCCGACUCACGUUGGACAGAUUCCUCCAGCUUCAUGGUAACCGGCACAAUGAAGUGAUUGUUGCCACGGAGACGCUGGCUUGUCCUCCUUUUCAUUAGCGUCUUCAAAAGGGGGGGAACUAAUCCGUCUCCAGUGUGUUGUUGCAUCAGUCCAGCAGCCCGGCUGGCGCCCACUCUGAACCUCCCAUCCCAGGAGUGUCGACAUCAAAGCAGCCGCUGGUGUCAAGACGGCGUUAACAACAUCUGUAUUCUCCUGGCUCUAAGGAAAGAGGCCCUCUGUAAACACGAGCAUAAAUAACCCUGACGCUACCGCACCAGACUGUAACGGGCGUAAUCAAAGUGGUUCUGCUCUGAAACGCCCGUUCUGGAGGCUGAAACCACGAGACAGUUGGCAGAGUGUUUCCAUGAUGACGUUUCCUUGGGUUUGGCCGCGUGUGGUUUGUGUGUGGGAGUCCGUAACAAUCAGAACCAGCUCUCUGCAGCAGUGUAGAUCACUUUAAAUGGUCAGCUUACAGACAGCAGAG